rnacentral:rRNA from 1 species
UACGGAGGGUGCGAGCGUUGUCCGGAAUCACUGGGCGUAAAGGGCGCGUAGGCGGCGCGGGAAGUCAUCGGUGAAAGUUCAGGGCUCAACUCUGAAUCGGCCGGUGAUACUCUCGUGCUUGAGCACUGUAGAGGCAGGUGGAAUUCCGGGUGUAGCGGUGGAAUGCGUAGAGAUCCGGAAGAACACCGGUGGCGAAGGCGGCCUGCUGGGCAGUAGCUGACGCUGAUGCGCGACAGCGUGGGGAGCAAAGCAGG